UAGGGAAUAUUGGACAAUGGGGGCAACCCUGAUCCAGCCAUGCCGCGUGAGUGAAGAAGGCCCUCGGGUUGUAAAGCUCUUUUGUCCGGAAAGAAAAGCAUUCGGUGAAUACCCGGAUGUUCUGACGGUACCGGAAGAAUAAGCACCGGCUAACUUCGUGCCAGCAGCCGCGGUAAUACGAAGGGUGCAAGCGUUACUCGGAAUUACUGGGCGUAAAGCGUGCGCAGGCGGUUUUGUAAGACAGAUGUGAAAUCCCCGGGCUUAACCUGGGAACUGGGUUUGUGACUGCAAGGCUGGAGUACGGCAGAGGGGGGUGGAAUUCCACGUGUAGCAGUGAAAUGCGUAGAGAUGUGGAGGAACACCGAUGGCGAAGGCAGCCCCCUGAGCCUGAACUGACGCUCAUGCACGAAAGCGUGGG
rnacentral:rRNA from 1 species